AAAUGUCAUAUGUCCAAGGAAGUAAAACGUCAAAGAUCAUACUUUUCCAAAUAAUUCGUUUAAAUCCUAAACAUCUGUUGUCUUCGCAUAUUUCGUCUUAAGCUGUAAUGGAUAAGCACGAUGUCUGCCACCCUUUAAACGGCUUAACAGAAUGGCAGUGUUCUACACUUGUGGGAUGUUCAAGUCCAAUCCCUCAAAAAGACACCAUGAAAACAUUUCAUCUAAGGACUCCAGAAAACAAAGUUUAUUUCAGCAGCACCUUCUUUCCAAGUCAUCUGUUUUCAUCUGGGCUAAUGAAGCAGAGACAUCCUCAUCCCUCAUCCUUACUGAAGAGAUGGGUUGUGAGAUCUGCAACACCUGCAUACUAGGAGUUGGUUAGGAGUUGGUAUGGGUAAACUUAGAUGCUGAUUUAGUGCAACUGGGUGUGACCGGAGAUGUCUUGUGGGAUCUAGUGUGAAAAUGUCUUUGCCGUUUGCCGCUUGUGUUACCUAUGCCUGUGUCUCAAUAAAGAAUUCAUUCACCAUUCCACACUUUGUCCAAACCUGUUAUCAAUAAAUGAAAAUGUGCUGCUGGUUUAAUAUAUAAUAGUACAUUUGAAUCACAAGGUGAACUUGUUGGUAUGUAUUGUAGUACAACCAUUUUGACGUGUCUUGUUGCAUCAGCCUUUGACUUUGUUCAAAUGAAGGCAACCUGAAUAAAGAAG